rnacentral:hammerhead_ribozyme from 1 species
AUCCAGCUGACGAGUCCUAAAUAGGACGAAACUCGCGCCUUGGAU